rnacentral:tRNA from 1 species
GGCGCCGUACCCAAGUGGUAAGGGAGAGGUCUGCAAAACCUUCAGCGACGGUUCAAUUCCGCCCGGCGCCU